rnacentral:rRNA from 1 species
AGAUAAUAGAUACCCAGGUAGUCCUGGCCUUAAACGAUGGAUGCUUGGGUGUCUGGAGUUUUAUAGUCUCCGGGUGCCGUAGCUAACGCGUUAAGCAUCCCGCCUGGGGAGUACGGUCGCAAGACUGAAACUCGAAGGAAUUGACGGGGACCCGCACAAGCGGUGGAGCAUGUGGUUCAAUUCGACGCAACGCGAAGAACCUUACCUGGGCUAGAAUGCCUCUGACAACCCUAGAGAUAGGGCUUCCUAGGGAAACCUAGGCAGAGUGCAAGGUGCUGCAUGGCUGUCGUCAGCUCGUGUCGUGAGAUGUUGGGUUUAAGUCCCGCAACGAGCGCAACCCUUAUCGAUAGUUGCUAGCGGUUCGGCCGGAGCACUCUAUUGAGACUGCCGUUGACAAAACGGAGGAAGGUGGGAGUGACGUCAAGUCCU